CCUCCGAUAGCUCAACGGUAGAGCGCUGGUAUACUUUCAGUUUUUUUCCAGAAUGAUAAUUACUACCGGAGACGUUGGUUCGGUGCCAACUCGGAGGA